AGGAAUUUCAGCCAACAUAAUAAGACAUGAAAAUGGCAUUCGAGGUGUAUUAGACAGAGAAGGGGACGUUAAUGUUUGCAGGAGACUUGGUCUGCCUCAGUGAUGUCAGUCAGCAGUGAUUGUGAUUCCCCAGGGGACACUCGGCAGCAUCUGGAGACAUUUUAGUUUAAACUUCCCCAGUGAUCUGUGAUGUACAGGAGACAUUUUCGGUUGUCACACUGAGGGAGGAGGCUGCAUGUCACUGGCAUCUGUUGGGUGACACCUACAAUGCACAGGACAACCACAACAAAUAAUUCAGGCCCAAAUGUUGCUGGUGCUGAGGGUGAGGUCCUAGUGUUAGUAACAGGAGGAAAACCCAGCAGUCUCGAGGAGAGACCUCUUCCCAGGGCAGCCCAGGGGCCAUCAGGAGGGUUCAUCUCAUGCAUUAGAGGCCUUGGGAAGAAUGAGGCUUCCUUUCCUCCAGCAAAGCAAGCAAAUCCUUUAAAAGCUACAUCUCCAAGGGCUGCUCUGGGCUCAUAGCAAGCAACAUCAGAGCCCAGAGGCAAGGCUGUGCCACUCAGCUGCUCUCUGGGGUCACAAAGGCUUCACUUGGCUUCUAAGAGCUGAUGAGGCCUCUCGCAAGGGACCCUGUGUGCAUGGGCUGACCCUGAAACUUCCCAGCCUCUCUUCUUCUCAGAGCACCCUCAGGUGUCCUCUCGGGGGUUACCCCUCAUUGAUAUCAUGUCUCCUCGUGUUUUUGUCCAGACUCCAAUUCCAGGGUUUCAGAACCGCAUCGCAGCAUCUUUCCUGAAAUGCACUCAGACUCAGCUAGCAAAGACGUGCCUGGCCGCAUCCUGCUGGAUAUAGACAAUGACACCGAGAGCACUGCCCUGUGAAGAAAGCCCUCUCCCAGCCCUCCACCCCUUCCACCCUGGUGAGUGGAGCAGGGGCAGGCGAACCUCUUCCUUUGCAGACCAAACAGUGAAAAGCUUUCAGUGGAGGACAAAGGAGGGCCUCACUGUGCGGGACCUGGCCUUCUGCACGGCCCAAGGAGAACCUGGAGGCCACCACUAAAGCUGAAUGACCUGUGUCUUGAAGAAGUUGGCUUUCUUUACGUGGGAAGGAAAUCAUGCCAAAAAAAUCCAAAACAAAGAAAUAGCUGGAGUGGAGAGAGUAUUCCUGCUGAAACGCGCGUAGGAAGCUUUUGUCCCUCUGUUAAUGUGGGCAGCACCUACAGGAACUUGGAGUGAGUAAGAAGCAGUGCGUUAACUAUCUAUUUAAUAAAAUGCGCUCGUUAUGCAAGUCGCCUACUCUCUGCUACCUGGACGUUCAUUCUUAUGUAUUAGGAGGGAGGCCGCUCUCCUUCAGACUUGCUGCAGAAUCAUUUUGUAUCAUGUAUGGUCUGUGUCUCCCCAGUCCCCUCAGAACCAUGCCCAUGGAUGGUGACUGCUGGCUCUGUCACCUCGUCAAACUGGAUGUGACCCAUGCCGCCUUGUUGGAUUGUCGGAAUCUAGGCAGAAAUGUACUGUUCUUUUUUUUUUUUUUUUAAACAAUGUAAUUGCUACUUGAUAAGGACCGAACAUUAUUCUAGUUUCAUGUUUAAUUUGAAUUAAAUAUAUUCUGUGGUUUAUAUGAAAA
rnacentral:sRNA from 1 species